AGUGAACGCUGGCGGUAGGCCUAACACAUGCAAGUCGAACGGCAGCACAGUAAGAGCUUGCUCUUACGGGUGGCGAGUGGCGGACGGGUGAGGAAUACAUCGGAAUCUACUUUUUCGUGGGGGAUAACGUAGGGAAACUUACGCUAAUACCGCACACGACCUACGGGUGAAAGCAGGGGAUCUUCGGACCUUGCGCGAUUGAAUGAGCUGAUGUCGGAUUAGCUAGUUGGCGGGGUAAAGGCCCACCAAGGCGACGAUCCGUAGCUGGUCUGGGAGGAUGAUCAGCCACACUGGAACUGAGACACGGUCCAGACUCCUACGGGAGGCAGCAGUGGGGAAUAUUGGACAAUGGGCGCAAGCCUGAUCCAGCCAUACCGCGUGGGUGAAGAAGGCCUUCGGGUUGUAAAGCCCUUUUGUUGGGAAAGAAAAGCAGCAGGUUAAUACCCCGCUGUUCUGACGGUACCCAAAGAAUAAGCACCGGCUAACUUCGUG
rnacentral:rRNA from 1 species